ACCAUACAACUCUUACAGAUGAGUGAUCAUGGCCUAGACAGUGGGCAUAUGCUCAUGCUGGCUUUACAAUUUAUUUGACAUAGAUGCUAGUACAUAACACUUAACACGACUAUCUUCAUCCGUCCACUUUUUAAAAGCAACCCUUUGCUCAGCAGUAGGAUGGUUUGAUAACACUAUGGAUUCCUGAUCGAGUACAUGACCUAGUUUUUCUGAGGUCAAGA
rnacentral:lncRNA from 1 species